rnacentral:rRNA from 1 species
AGUGAACGCUGGCGGUAGGCCUAACACAUGCAAGUCGAACGGCAGCACAGUAAGAGCUUGCUCUUACGGGUGGCGAGUGGCGGACGGGUGAGGAAUACAUCGGAAUCUACUUUUUCGUGGGGGAUAACGUCGGGAAACUUACGCUAAUACCGCAUACGACCUACGGGUGAAAGCAGGGGAUCUUCGGACCUUGCGCGAUUGAAUGAGCCGAUGUCGGAUACGAUAGUUGGCGGGGUAAAGGCCCACCAAGGCGACGAUCCGUAGCUGGUCUGAGAGGAUGAUCACCCACACUGUAUGUGAGACACGUCCCAGACUCCUACGGGAGGCCGCAGUGGGGAAUAUUGCACGAUGGGGGCGUGCCUGAUCCAGCCAUACCGCGUAGGUGAUGAAGGCCUUCUGGUUGUAGAGCCCUUUUGUUGGGAAAGUUAUGCAGCAGGUUAAUCCCCCGCUGUUCUGACGGUACCCAAAGAAUAAGCACCGGCUAACUUCGUG